rnacentral:rRNA from 1 species
AAUCCAUAGGUUAAUGAGGCGAACCGGGGGAACUGAAACAUCUAAGUACCCCGAGGAAAAGAAAUCAACCGAGAUUCCCCCAGUAGCGGCGAGCGAACGGGGAGGAGCCCAGAGCCUGAAUCAGCAUGUGUGUUAGUGGAAGCGUCUGGAAAGGCGCGCGAUACAGGGUGACAGCCCCGUACACAAAAGCGCAUGUGCUGUGAGCUCGAUGAGUAGGGCGGGACACGUGGUAUCCUGUCUGAAUAUGGGGGGACCAUCCUCCAAGGCUAAAUACUCCUGACUGACCGAUAGUGAACCAGUACCGUGAGGGAAAGGCGAAAAGAACCCCGGCGAGGGGAGUGAAAAAGAACCUGAAACCGUGUACGUACAAGCAGUGGGAGCACAGGUUUACCUGUGUGACUGCGUACCUUUUGUAUAAUGGGUCAGCGACUUAUAUUCUGUAGCAAGGUUAACCGUAUAGGGGAGCCGCAGGGAAACCGAGUCUUAAU